GACGAACGCUGGCGGCGUGCUUAACACAUGCAAGUCGAACGAUGAAGCCGGAGCUUGCUCCGGUGGAUUAGUGGCGAACGGGUGAGUAACACGUGAGCAAUCUGCCCUUGACUCUGGGAUAACUGCGGGAAACUGUAGCUAAUACCGGAUACGACACCUUGGGGCAUCCCAGGGUGUGGAAAGAAUUUCGGUCAAGGAUGAGCUCGCGGCCUAUCAGCUAGUUGGUGAGGUAAUGGCUCACCAAGGCGACGACGGGUAGCCGGCCUGAGAGGGUGAGCGGCCACACUGGAACUGAGACACGGUCCAGACUCCUACGGGAGGCAGCAGUGGGGAAUAUUGCACAAUGGGCGAAAGCCUGAUGCAGCAACGCCGCGUGAGGGAUGAAGGCCUUCGGGUUGUAAACCUCCUUUAGCAGGGAAGAAGCGAAAGUGACGGUACCUGCAGAAAAAGCACCGGCUAACUACGUGCCAGCCGCCGCAGUAA
rnacentral:rRNA from 1 species